rnacentral:misc_RNA from 1 species
GAUGAAGAACGCAGUGAAAUGCGAUAAGUAGUGUGAAUUGCAGAAUUCAGUGAAUCAUCGAAUCUUUGAACGCACAUUGCGCCCCUUGGUAUUCCAUGGGGCAUGCCUGUUCGAGCGUCAUUUGUACCUUCAAGCUCUGCUUGGUGUUGGGUGUUUGUCUCGCCUCUGCGCGUAGACUCGCCUCAAAACAAUUGGCAGCCGGCGUAUUGAUUUCGGAGCGCAGUACAUCUCGCGCUUUGCACUCAUAACGUCGACGUCCAAAAGUACAUUUUUACACUCUUGACCUCGGAUCAGGUAGGGAUACCCGCUGAACUUAAGCAUAUCAAUAAGCGGAGGA